rnacentral:rRNA from 1 species
CCUACGGGGGGCAGCAGUGAGGAAUAUUGGUCAAUGGACGCAAGUCUGAACCAGCCAUGCCGCGUGCAGGAAGACGGCUCUAUGAGUUGUAAACUGCUUUUGUACGAGGGUAAACGCAGAUACGCGUAUCUGUCUGAAAGUAUCGUACGAAGAAGGAUCGGCUAACUCCGUGCCAGCAGCCGCGGUAAUACGGAGGAUUCAAGCGUUAUCCGGAUUUAUUGGGUGUAAAGGGUGCGUAGGCGGUCGGAUAAGUUAGAGGUGAAAUCCCGAGGCUCAACUUCGGAAUUGCCUGUGAUACUGUUCGGCUAGAGAGUAGGUGAGGUAGGCGGAAUGUAUGGUGUAGCGGUGAAAUGCGUAGAGAUCAUGCAGAACACCGGUGGCGAAGGCAGCUUACCGAGCUACAACUGACGUUGAGGCACGAAAGCGUGGGGAGCAAACAGGAUUAGAUACCCGUGUAGUC